CGAACGGGUGAGUAACGCGUGAGGAACCUGCCUCAAAGAGGGGGACAACAGUUGGAAACGACUGCUAAUACCGCAUAAGCCCACGGCUCGGCAUCGAGCAGAGGGAAAAGGAGCAAUCCGCUUUGAGAUGGCCUCGCGUCCGAUUAGCUAGUUGGUGGGGUAACGGCCCACCAAGGCGACGAUCGGUAGCCGGACUGGGAGGUUGAACGGCCACAUUGGGACUGAGACACGGCCCAG
rnacentral:rRNA from 1 species